UUGAAACUCUUUUCCUCGUGAAUGCUUUCAGGCCUCUUGGCCUGUCAAGCAGACGUCACUGGAGUAUGCGUAGCACCUCCUGCCUCAGCCUUUCAGAAACAUCUUGAAGAGGAAAAUGCUAAAGCCGACAGAGAGUACGAAGAAUUCAUGUCUGAAGAUCUGGAAAACAUCAGAGAGAUCGAAGAGAAGUAUAAGAGAAAUGCUGCCCAACUUAAGGCUCCCGACAAAUGAAGAUAAUCUUUCAUAGACAUAACAUAGUAUUUUAUCCCCAAAUUAUGAUAACAUGGUAAAUUGACCUUUUGGACAUAUCAGACAGUUAAUAAAGUGUACUAGUAAAGUGUGGGUGUCCCCUCCCAUUUCUGUGACUCACUUCU
rnacentral:lncRNA from 1 species